rnacentral:rRNA from 1 species
CCUACGGGUUGCAGCAGUGGGGAAUUUUCCGCAAUGGGCGAAAGCCUGAUCCAGCAAUGCCGCGUGUGUGAAGAAGGCCUUAGGGUUGUAAAGCUCUUUCACCGGUGAAGAUAAUGACGGUAACCGGAGAAGAAGCCCUGGCUAACUUCGUGCCAGCAGCCGCGGUAAUACGAAGGGGGCUAGCGUUGUUCGGAAUUACUGGGCGUAAAGCGCGCGUAGGCGGAUAGAUAAGUCAGAGGUGAAAUCCCGGGGCUCAACCCCGGAAUUGCCUUUGAUACUGUUUAUCUUGAGUGCAGAAGAGGUAAGUGGAAUUCCGAGUGUAGAGGUGAAAUUCGUAGAUAUUCAGAGGAACACCAGUGGCGAAGGCGGCUUACUGGUCUGCAACUGACGCUGGGGCGCGAAAGCGUGGGGAGCAAACAGGAUUAGAUACCCCCGUAGUC